GACGAACGCUGGCGGCGUGCUUAACACAUGCAAGUGGUGCGACGAACCAGGGCUUGCCCUGGGGCAAAGCCGCGAACGGGUGAGUAACACGUGAGUAAUCUGCCCCGAUGACCGGGACAACCCGAGGAAACUCGGGCUAAUACCGGAUGUGGUGCCUUGGCGUAAGCCUUUGCACUAAAGGAAGCUUCGGCCUCCGCAUUGGGAGGAGCUCGCGGCCCAUUAGCUUGUUGGUGGGGUAACGGCCUACCAAGGCAACGAUGGGUAGCUGGUCUGAGAGGACGAUCAGCCACACUGGGACUGAGACACGGCCCAGACUCCUACGGGAGGCAGCAGUGGGGAAUCUUGCGCAAUGCGCGAAAGCGUNACGCAGCAACGCCGCGUGGGGGAAGACGGCCUCGGUUGGUAACCC
rnacentral:rRNA from 1 species